rnacentral:lncRNA from 1 species
GUCAUUCAGUGGCUGACUGCUCCGGGGUCCAAUCAUUCAGAGCCUUUAUUGAGAGAUUUCCAUGUUUGGAAAACUUGUUUCCAGACCAUUCAAUUUUCUCAUACUCUUCGUGAGGGUGAUCAGGUGGCUGAUUUUCUCGCUAAGUUGGCUAUUCAAUCGGAUUUUGAUUUGCAAACUUUUUAGCCCUUUUUCCGUAGAUUUUAUUCUGAUCCUUCAAGCGGAUUCUUGGGGGAUUGCCUAUGAACGAUGAUGAUGCCGAUGUUGUGGACUAUGUAUUCCUUCCAUAUCUUUAUGAUGUUUGUUUGUCCACUGUUUUCAUAUUGUAGUUUGGUCCCUGUUGGAUGUUUAAAGUGGCUGCGGGAUUGGGAGGCUUUCGAUGUCAUUAUCAGCUCUGCUUUCUUAUAUGCUUGUGUGGUUUUUAUGGUUGGGGGGCUUUUAUUGACAUCGGCUCUGAGUUCAAGGUCUUCUAUGCUGGUUAUGGUUUUUGUUUGAUGAUCAAUUUGAGAAGCAUACUUCAAUCUCCAAGAGGGUUUCAGGUCUCAGUGGACAAAUACUCUGCUUACAGUUUCCUAAUGGGAGGGCGAGCUCUGUUUUCCGGGGUUGCCUGUGAGCAUUUUCAGGGGCUCCUUCCUGCAGUUGGGUACAGUUGAUUAUUUAACUCGUUUGCUGUUUUGCAGGCGUUUAGAUUGGGUUUUUCAGUGGAUAUUAUACUAUUGGCCAUGGGGAGAUGCUUAUGCCUGUAGAGGGCACAAUACUACUUACUUCAGUUCCCAGGUUAAUAUGAAUUGCGAGAGCUGCUGUCCUUAAUAGUUUGAACCUCCUAGAAGUUCAUCAUUGUAUUCAGAAGCUCCCUGUUCUUCAGAGCAACAGCUAAUUCUGAUCAAUGCUAUAAUUUCUCCAGCUUCUCUACUGAUUGGGGAGUUUCAUGCUUAUUUGUUUCAAUUUCAGCAGUCUCAGGCAGGUUGCCAAGCAUAGUUGGAUGAGUGCGCUUCUGAAUUGGAGAGCUCUGGAGAAUUGGUUUCGCUAAGGCUGCAUGUUCUACUAGGAUGCCAGGUUUCUAGUAUCUUAUUAGCUAUUAGCAGAGGCUAAUAUAUGUACUGUGUGCUAUGUUGUUUACAUUAUAAUCCCUGGUUAUUUGGUGCCAUAAGUGUUUGUUGGCUUUUCUCCUAC